rnacentral:lncRNA from 1 species
CAACGCCUUCUGGCGGUGCAAGCGAGUUUGGCCCUUGGAGGCUUCCGUAGCUCGCCUUAGACGUCAAUAUGGCCCCCUUCUGCCGGGUGUCCCACGUGUUGUUUCCGGCUGGGCUCGGGAGCUGGAGUCUCAGCAACAGCUGGGUUCACGCUUUUCUAGAACUGCUCCGCGGGGAGCCAGACUGUCCCCAACAUGUCCAGCAGAAACAACAACAAGCUCCCGAGCAACCUGCCGCAGUUACAGAAUCUGAUCAAGCGGGACCCGCCGGCCUACGUCGAGGAGUUUCUCCAGCAGUAUAAUCACUACCAAUCCAAUGUGGAGAUUUUCAAGUUACAACCAAAUAAACCCAGCAAAGAACUGGCAGAGCUGGUGAUGUUUAUGGCACAGGUAAGGAAAUAAUUUCUGAAUAAAACAAAAAUCAAUGUUAU